AUAUCAAUAAGCCCAGGAAAAGAAAGCAACUGCGAUGGCCACAGUAACGGCGAGUGAACAGGCCAUAGCCCAUCCCAGAAGCAGCAUGGUGGCUUCCGGCCAUCAGGCCAUGCUGCGUUGUAGGGUAAGCACCUAUCGGCGAAAGGGUCCCAGACAGGAAGGUUGCCUGGAACGGCACUGCCACGGAGCGUGAUAGCCGCGUUGCACUGUCUGUGGAUUCGGUAAAGCUGGUGGGAGGCAAGAGUCGGGCUGUUUGGGAGUGCAGCUCUAAUUGUGAGGUAUACCCCUCAUAAGGCUAAAUAUUGGCACGAGACCGAUAGCGAACAAGUAGAGUGAUCGAAAGAUGCAAAGAACUUUGAAAAGAGAGUUAAAAGUGCGUGAAACUGUGGAGUGGUAAGGGAUGGAGACCCAUCCAAAAACGGGGUGUGUGCUGUUCAAGCCUCCCCCGAGCAGCUCGAGUUCGUCGGCCCCCAUCGGCUAUGCCUGAGCUACCCCGCUUUCGGGCGUGGUAGUCGGCGUGGUGUCUUGGAGUGGUGGCAGAUUGACCCGCAGGCAUGCGAGGGAGUGCAUCCAAGGGGUUCUACGUGCGU
rnacentral:rRNA from 1 species